rnacentral:lncRNA from 1 species
AUCUACUUAACCUGAAACUCCUUUUACCGACCCGACCCUGAACACCUCAGUGUAUUAAGUUGGUUUGUUAGCUUACUAGCUUGUGUCCUGCCGAUGUAAACAUAGAUUUCAACACAGAAUUUAACACUGGAUCAUGAUUUUUAACUAACAGGACUUGCUCUAAAGUCUGGCUGUUCUUACCCAGGCUGCUUUGGGCGAAGAGGAGGACGGCAUCAUCCAAAGUUGGUGGAGUUGUUUCAAGCUGCAGACAGUCAAAGGUCCUCUAGGUACUCUAUCUUGGUUUGAUUCACAAUGAUGUGUUUGAUGAUGGGGGUUGCAAGAAAAUAGUUUGAAUUAUUUACAGCAUUUUGCCUUAUUUUCUUUGAGGAGUCCAGGUACAGAUCUAAUUUUAUUAUAUUAGUGGCCAAAAGAGAGGCAUCACUGACUAUAACAAAUGGAAAUACAGCCAAUUCAGCAGGGAAAUAUUUGAUCCUUUCACAUCUAUUUAUUGACGUGUCAGAGCAGUUUAUAUUAACUGAGAUUAAAUAUUUUGACAUGAACUUGUACUAAUACACUGUACAAAAAUAUAUUUUUAUUGAGGUGGUCUUGUGCUUUUCCACAUUUACAACAAAACCUGCAAAGUUGCAAUAUAUGGUGUCCAUAAGAGAUGAAUGCAAAGUUUCACAUCACAAUGUAAACAUAUGUUGUCAUAAUCUAAGAAAAUAGAUGUUAACUGCUCAAAACGGGACCUUGUGAAAAACUUUUUAAAGCCCACUUCCUCCAUGUAAAAAGAUGGGAAAUGGGUCAAACUUCAAGAUAAAAAAAAUGUCAAGUAAAUGUUUCUCAAACACGCAGUCUCUCAUCAGUUUGCUCUUAUCAUGCUGAUGUAUGUCCAUGGUUCAUUUCUAAGACAAGUUAAAGUGAGAGUGAAAGUGAGAAUCCUGCAGUGCUGUUUGCACCGGAUUAAGGAAAGGAUCCUCUUUCACUGAGGCCUCCUUUUUUGCUUUGCCAUGUUUCUACAGUAGCACAGAAGGAACAAACUAGUAACAAAUAUGUUCUUGCAAUUAUGAGUGGCUGUCUGAAAUGCACCUGUUGGGAGGUGAAGUUAUUAAAAAAAAAUUAUUUAGGACCUGUUAUUUUUAAUUCAGUUCAUUAAGCCCUUUGUUUUUUGUGUUUGCUGCUGCUGUACUUAAGUCAGGUUUAACCUGGUUUUGUACAUUUCUAUAAGAGUAAUAAAAACCACCUCUAAACAGCAUUAUCAUCUAAUUUAAUUCAAAAACAUUCUAAAUCAGCCUUCAGAAAGAAAGAUUUAGAUCCACAUCGUCUGUUUAUUGCAGGACCAUGUUGCUAGGUACAAGUUACAUUUUUGGCCGUCACCAAGGUGAAAAGUUUUAAGAAUAUUUGAGAUAUUUUUCUUCUCCCUGUGCAGGUCUGCAUUUGGUCCAAAUUUGUACAUAGUUUUAUUUUAGUUUAAUUUUUCUUCUCCCUUUUUCCUUUUCCUAAUUUUUUUCCUAAUUAUUACAUUUAUUUAAGUUCUUAAUAUUACGAUCGUUAUUUUUAUAACUGCAUUUUUGCACUCUUUGUCUGUGAUGCUGCUGUGACAAAAAAAUUUCCCCCAUGGGGGAUCGAUAAAGGAAUAUUCUAUUCUAUUCUAUUCUAUUCUAACUUGAAGAAAUGUAAUACUUGUUCAUUACCUUGUUAUUCACGCGCUUUCCUCACCGUCUGUUUACUGAGCUCACGUCGGCAGAGUGGGAAAACACAAGGGGGGGAAGUGAUGGGGGAGGGAGAUGGAGGUGACAUCUUGUUGAUUAAAUAAAAAAAAGAAAACUGCGCUGAGACACAGAGCGGAGAUCCGCCUGGAUUCAAUCUGCAGCACAGUUUUUCAGCUCUUUAGAAUCUCUAACACUCGUGAUGGUUUUCCAGCAGCGACUGGAGAACGUUUGAAAUGUAAAGAGUGAAAUUCCAUCGUGGCUCAACACGGCUGACGGAUGUCAAACUGGCUUGCAUACUGCGGAGAAUAGCAGACACCAACACAGGAGCAGUUUUCAUGUGACAGUUUGGAUACAAAAAACAUCCUCUGCACCAACAAACAGCACACCUGUACUUGUACCUUACCUGGGGAUGUAAAGAAAAAUGGAUCCCUACAGAGCCACCACCCAGCAUACAUAAAGUGGAC